GAGCGGCUCCGGGACCCUGAGGGGACGCGGCCCGGGACCCCAACCCCUCCCGGGCUGGGCCACCCGCGUGUCCCCGCUCCGGACGGACACGGCGCUGUUGGCAGGCCCCGCUGGCGGCAGGAGUGAGUGGGGCCCUGAGUGCAGCCCAGCCCUGUGAGGGGUAUCCAGGAGCGCUGGGUGCACAAGGUCCUGCAGGAUGUGAAGCCUGUUAAGGGGGAAGCAGCCCUGAAGCAACACCUCAACCCCCGAGUGAGCAACAAGUCAGCGUGGAGUCGAAGGUAGAGAGUGAGAUUUAUGUCAGUGCUGAGCAGGCAGAAAAAUGAGAGCAGCAGCAGGGAGGAUCCCCAGAUUGAUUCAGGCCUCUGUAUCAACAACUCUGGCCUGAGCUGAGCACCAGUGACACUGGACAGGGCGAGGUAGGAAACAACCGAACAUUUCCCCCACCUCAUUUUAUUCACAUUUAAUGUGUUGUUUUUUUCCAUGUGAGCACCAGUUCCAGCAGCAACAGAGCAGCUUUUGCUCUCAUGCUGGGCACAGCUCUGGCAGAACAAGAGAACAGGGCAACAGUAAAGCACAAAUGUGAGUGAGAAUCAUGGAACAAAAUGCAAACAAUCCAUUUAUACUUAGCAACAUUGUCCUCACAUGUAAAUAGCAAGGAAGUGCCAGUUCUGACCUCCUGGAAGUCCUUGAUGACAACCUGGGCCAGUGUGGGACAGAAAGUGUGGCUGAUUCCUUGGACCCCAAGCACCAGUGGGGGUAAAGUGGCAAAUCCUGGCCACACAGGCCACUGUCAACUUGAUUUUCAGAUAAAAUCCUUAUUUUAAGAGGCUUCCUCUUCCAAGGACUCCAGCUCUCCAAGACUGCACUGGUUCAGUUCUCUGCUGCUUAGAUUCUAGGGCAGUUCCCCCAGUUUGCUGAGGACUUGCCUGGCUGGAUCUCCCACCUGCUGCUGGGAACAGCAUUUCUGCUCCUGUGUCAAUCCUCAACCCUCGUGUCUCCACCUAGUGUCCAAAUCACAUCUGGAUUCCGUCCCAGCCUAGUGAUUCCUGCAGCCUUCACAGCUUCCCCAUCACUGUGCCCACACCCCAAGCACAUC